GAUUUUCUUUUUCUUCUUCUCUCUCUUUCGCUUUCUUUCUUUCACAUUCGCUUUCCGUUGUUUUCUCUGCCAACAAACCAUUCAAAACUCUGCAUUUCCAACCGUUUUCAUUUUUCUCCUUCUCUUCUCUUACACUCUCACUUUCAGUUUCAGCUUCGCUUUUUCUCUGCUUCGGAUUUCGGCAUUGUCGUAAGCGGAAAACUGUCAGCGCAAGGUUUCUAGGCUUUUGAGUCCUGUUAUGGCUGGUGAUUCAUUUGUGAUUAUCAAUGGCAAUGGCAAUGGCAUCGCUAAGUCAGAGCCUGAUCCGCAGAGGACCUACCAAGCAGUGGUGAUUGCAACCAGAGAUAUGGGCAUUUCCAAGGAUGGAAAAUUACCAUGGUUUUUACCCACGGAUCUCAAGUUUUUCGACGAUAUCACUACAACAACAACUGAUCCUGGGAAGAAGAAUGCCGUUGUGAUGGGUAGAAAAACAUGGGAGAGCAUCCCUCCUAAGGAAAGGCCUCUUUCCGGUCGCCUUAAUGUUGUUCUGACUCGCUCUGGUAGCUUUGAUAUUGCAACAGCAGAGAAUGUUGUUAUAUGUGGAAGUGUGUCUUCUGCCAUGGAACUGUUGGCUGCUUCUCCUUACUGCCUGUCGAUUGAGAAAGUAUUUCUUACAGGAGGUGGAGAGAUAUUUAGAGAGGCACUUAAUGCACCUGGAUGUGAAGCUGCCCAUAUUACAGAAAUUGAGGCGAGCAUUGAGUGUGACACUUUUAUGCCUCGAAUUGAUACCUCUGUAUUUCAGCCAUGGUAUUCGUCAUUCCCUUUGGUGGAAAACAAUCUCCGAUAUGCUUUCACCACUUAUGUGCGUGUAAGGAGUUCUUCGGAAGAGUCCCCGGGUCAGAAUACGGAACCACUUUUUGAUAAUGGUUCAGGCUCUCUAGAGUUUGAGGUGAAGAAAUUUUCUUUUCUUCCUAAAAUGAUUUAUGAGAGACAUGAGGAGUUUAAGUAUCUUAGGUUGGUUCAAGAAAUCAUUUCUGAAGGCACAUCUAAGGAUGAUAGAACAGGGACUGGUACCUUGUCAAAAUUUGGCUGCCAGAUGAGGUUUAAUCUGCGCAGAAACUUUCCGCUUCUGACAACAAAGAAAGUAUUUUGGCGAGGAGUUGUUGAAGAGCUUCUUUGGUUUAUCAGUGGCUCAACAAGUGCUAAGGUUCUGCAGGAAAAAAGCAUUCAUAUAUGGGAUGGCAAUGCAUCCAGAGAAUACCUUGAUAGCAUUGGUUUGACAGAAAGGGAGGAGGGUGACUUGGGACCUGUUUAUGGGUUUCAGUGGAGGCACUUUGGAGCCAAGUAUACCGACAUGCAUGCUGACUAUUCCGGCCAAGGAUUUGAUCAGCUUUUAGAUGUUAUUAACAAGAUAAAGCAUAAUCCUGAUGAUCGACGGAUCAUUCUCUCAGCUUGGAAUCCAUCUGAUCUUAAAUUGAUGGCACUUCCACCCUGCCACAUGUUUGCGCAGUUCUAUGUAGCGAAUGGGGAGUUAUCGUGUCAGAUGUAUCAGCGAUCAGCCGACAUGGGUCUGGGUGUGCCAUUUAAUAUUGCAUCUUAUGCGCUCCUGACAUGCAUGAUUGCUCAUGUUUGUGACCUUGUUCCGGGUGAUUUUAUCCAUGUUAUCGGGGAUGCUCAUGUUUACCGCAAUCAUGUGAGACCUUUGCAGGAGCAGCUCCAGAACCAACCAAAACCUUUUCCGAUUUUGAAGAUAAACCCAAAGAAGAAAGAUAUAGAUUCUUUUGUGGCUGCUGAUUUCAAGCUCAUAGGAUAUGAUCCUCACCAGAAGAUAGAAAUGAAGAUGGCUGUCUAGGAAUCUUGUGAGAUUCUCAAUCCCUUCUUGAGGCUGUUAUGCUUUCUGAAAUGAGGCAUAACCAUAGGACGUAUAUGGUAAAUUUCUGGUCAAAUAAAAGAAUACUGGUUGGACAUACUUCAAGUUUUACAUGUUACUAUUGGGAAUCCUUUAGUUCCACAUUUGUCGUGGCUCUAAGGUGAUUUAGGUUAACUGCAUUUUCAUUUUUUUUUUCAUAUAGACGUUCUGGUAUACUUUUGAGUUCUGAUGGAUCAGAAAAUUGACGUUUUGAGAUUAGAGGCGUCUUGUGUUGGCUAUUUUAUUGUGAUUCGCCGCCUCCUCCGGCCCCAGCCAAAAAAAAAAAAGAAAGAGGAAAGGAGGGAAUGACCUAGAAUCACUAUCGGAUGUUGCAUUGCUACACCUUUUUUCUGGCAUUGUUUCCUCUUUUGAUACUGUUGGUUGUUUCUUAUUUUUGGUGCUUCUGUAUUGCCAUUUUUCCGUUCUGAUUUGGAGACCAGCGGGGAAACGGGGAAGGGAUGGCUCAAAAAAUUCAUGUUAUGUAUAAAAACCAAAGGUACUUAAAAGAACAUUAUUUAAAUUUUACCAUUUUUUUUCUAAAUUAUCCA